GACGAACCGUGCGAACGUUAUUCGGAAUCACUGGGCUUAAAGGGCGCGUAGGCGGGCCGAAAAGUCAGGGGUGAAAUCCUCCAGCCCAACUGGAGAAGCGCCUUUGGUACUGUCGGCCUCGAGGGGUGCAGGGGCAUGCGGAACUCAGGGUGGAGCGGUGAAAUGCGUAGAUAUCCUGAGGAACACCGGUGGCGAAAGCGGCGUGCUGGACACCUUCUGACGCUGAGGCGCGAAAGCCAGGAGAGCGAACGGG
rnacentral:rRNA from 1 species